rnacentral:rRNA from 1 species
CGCUUUGAGGAUUGACAGUUAUUGUAUAGUUCUGAUAUGGGUGGUAUUUGUAGUCAACGUGUAGGUAGUUGUAUAUUAAAUAUGAAAGUUCUUUUAUGAUUAUGUGAUAGGUGGUGCAUGGCCGUCCUUAAUUCGUGGAGUGAUUUGUCUGCUUAAUUGCGCAUUGCAAAUUGUAAUUGAUCUUUUACCAGUCUCGUUCUGAUUUAUGUUGUGAAUAUUGUAGAAUAUUGUUGUCGUCGAGUCAUUAUUGCCACUACGUCUGGUCCUUUGGGGGCAGAAUAGUGUUGUAUAUUUUGUCUUGUCAACACAAAAUUCUUCACAAUAUUGUAGCCGUACUUGAUUGUAUGCGCUAUUCAUGUAUAUGUGAUCAGUCAAGACCAGUUCGGCUGCUUGCACACAUCGCCAUCUCAACAUGAUCAGUCAGGCUGCUAGAGACCUUGUGUCUUGCCCCAAAGGUUGAUUAACACCGUGAGUGCAACGAGUGAGAUUGCAAGCCUUUGUUAUGUAGUGAACAACAUAUACCUACUACUACUACUAUUUUGUAGUAAUGUAGGAUUCCAACUACACAGAAUAACCAUUAAGGUGAAAUGAACUCAGGCGACUGCUAUACUUUAAGAUGGUGGAAGGUUGUGGCAAUGACAGGUCUGUGAUGCCCUUUAGAUGUUCAAGGCUGCACACGUACU